UAGGUUAUGGGAAGGUUCGUGCCAACUGGGUUACCGUAAUAAUUUUAGGGGUUAUACAGGGGCCUCACCUGGACUUAAAAGAAGAGGUGGAUUUCCUAGAUGGAAACCAAUGGGGGGCAACCCGGCCUCAGGAGGUUUAUAAUGACUUUAGGAUAGAUAUUCGGAGAGAUGCAUCAUUCAAGGUUAUGCCCUAUCAAUUUCCGGAAGUAGGGUUUUGGCCCACCAGUGUCCAUACGGGAAAUGGAGAAUUUGGGAUAGAUUCCGGAGAGGGAGCCUGAGAAACGGCUACCACUACCAAGGGAGGCCACAGGGGCGGAAACUUCCCAAUCCCUACACAGGGAGGUAGGGGCCAUUAACAACUAUGCCGGGUUUAUUUAAUUUUAGCAAGUCGAACAAGGGCAAAUUUAAUACCCUAGCGUGGAUCAAUUGGAGGG
rnacentral:rRNA from 1 species